rnacentral:lncRNA from 1 species
UGAAGAUCCGCUGCCACCUAGGCCAAGGGAUUCUGCUUCUCAGAAACCUUCUGCAGAGUUCAUUAGCUUACUUGAUGGAUUGCUUCAAAAGGAUCCUCAGAAGAGGCUCAAUUGGACAGAUGUAUUGCAACAUCCAUUCUGGAAAGACUCCCUUAGCCAUUGUGAUGGUGAUUCUUCAGACAGCCAGGGCUCAAGCAAUGAAGACUUGGAGUCAUGGAAUACCAAGGGGCCAGAAGAUGCUUGUAAAAACCUAUCAUCUUCAAGAGC